UGAAAAUGUGGACAUCAGAAGUUUCACUAUGAAAAUAUUUUAAUUUUUCUACAUUUUCAAAUGUUUCUUGUAAAAUUCAACUCAAAACAAGAUAAUUUCAAGAUUGUUUGACUUAACAAGAUAUUUCAGAUGCAUUGUCUUAAAACAAGUCCCUCCAUCUGCUGAAAUGUCUCUUGUUAAGUGACUUUAUCUUAAAUCAAGUGACUGACUGACUAAAAAUAAGACAAAUAGACUUGGUAGGAUUUAGAGUUUUUGCAGUGUGCUGAACCCUCCGGAGGUGUCGUAUCAGCAGAGGACAGAAGGUGUCCUCACUCCUUGAACCAUCCAGUCUUACUCAGAGUCUCAUGUAUGGAAGAAGGGAUACAGACUUCUAGUCCCACACAAUGGAUCUCUAACGUCUGUGUCUCUUUCCAGUUUUCAGCUACUGCAGCACCUCCUGAACAGUCUUCAGAUUCAGGUUUACGUCCAGAAACGCCAAAUUUAAACCUGAACCUGCAGGUGAGAGCUGCUGAUCCAGUAGAAACAGGUGUGAAAGUUAAUUCUGUGUGUCUGUUGGACAGCAGGUGGCGCCGCUGUAACAUGAACAUCAGGGCAAACUGGUAAAAACAACUAAUCUUUAUUGGAAACAAGAAAUAAAUACAGAAGAAAAGGACAGAAUCAUCAGCUGGAAACAUCUGGACAAGACCAUGGAAACACCUGGAUUCCACAGGAUUUGAAAAGGUUCAGGUGGAAGAUGAAGAGUGAGUGUGUUGUAUGUCUUCAGUUGUUCUCGGUGAAGUCUCUGCAGAUUCCUCGGACCAGCGCCGGGACGAACUCCAUCAGGCCGCUGAACUCUCUGGUGAAGAAGGUGUGACUGUCUUUGGGCUCUGAUGACAUCACUCUGAGGUCAUCCAGCGGUGCCCACGCCGUGCCCACGGAGUAGAUGGUGAUGCCUGGUGAUUGGACGAAACACAAACAGGUGACACGUGACGUCACAUUUCGGACGACAUACUAAACUAUGACGUUUUAGUCCAUUUCCGGACGACAACAUCCACAUGUGAAAAGCUGAGACAAGUUCAUUUCUGCUUAAAGUAAUGAUUUGCAAAUAUUUUUUUGUCAAUCAGCUGAUCGGUUUAUUAAGUAAUCAUGCCAACAGUGAUAUGCAGCUUGGUUUUAGAGAGAAUAUUUACAUAGCUUGGAAUGCAAUGGAAUACAUUUUGAUUUUGAGGCACUCUGGGAGGUUAAUCAGAAAAUUCAUGAUGAUUUUUUUUCAAAGAAAACCUUUCUGGAGUGUUUUCCACGGCCUCCGUUACAUUAUUUCAUCAUAUGGCACAUUUUUACAUGUUUGAAAAAUGGCAUUUUUUUCCGACAUAGUAUAGUAAGGCGUUUUUUUUGCGCCAAAAUUCAUGAUGAUUUUUUUUCAAGAGAAAACCUUUCUGGAGUGUUUUUCACGGCCUCCUUUACAUUAUUUCAUCAUAUGGCACGUUUUUACAACAUGUUUGAAAAAUGGCAUUUUUUUUCGAC
ensembl:lncRNA